rnacentral:tRNA from 1 species
GGGCGCUAGCUCAAUCACGGUAGAGCAAUGGAGUUCGGCUGGGGCUACUCCAGAGAUGCGGGUUCGAAUCCCGCCCGCCCA